rnacentral:rRNA from 1 species
GUAAUACGGAGGGGGUUAGCGUUGUUCGGAAUUACUGGGCGUAAAGCGCGCGUAGGCGGAUUAGAAAGUUGGGGGUGAAAUCCCGGGGCUCAACCUCGGAACUGCCUCCAAAACUGCUAGUCUAGAGUUCGAGAGAGGUGAGUGGAAUUCCGAGUGUAGAGGUGAAAUUCGAAGAUAUUCGGAGGAACACCAGUGGCGAAGGCGGCUCACUGGCUCGAUACUGACGCUGAGGUGCGAAAGUGUGGGGAGCAAACAGGAUUAGAUACCCUGGUAGUCCACACCGUAAACGAUGAAUGCCAGUCGUCGGAUAGUAUACUAUUCGGUGACACACCUAACGGAUUAAGCAUUCCGCCUGGGGAGUACGGUCGCAAGAUUAAAACUCAAAGGAAUUGACGGGG